rnacentral:rRNA from 1 species
AGCAGCCGCGGUAAUUCCAGCUCCAAUAGCGUAUAUUAAAGUUGUUGCAGUUAAAAAGCUCGUAGUUGAAUUUCGGGAUCAAUAUGUCAGUCGUGCCUCAGUACGUACUGGCGUCAUUGGUUUCUCCCUUCUGAAGAACCACGAUGUCAUUAAUUUGGUGUCGUGGGGAAUCAGGACUGUUACUUUGAAAAAAUUAGAGUGUUUAAAGCAGGCUCGCGCUUGAAUACAUUAGCAUGGAAUAAUGAAAUAGGACGUUUGAUUCUAUUUUGUUGGUUUCUAGGAUCGACGUAAUGAUUAAUAGGGAUAGUUGGGGGCAUUAGUAUUCAAUUGUCAGAGGUGAAAUUCUUGGAUUUAUUGGACUAACUACUGCGAAAGCAUUUGCCAAGGAUGUUUUCAUUAAUCAAGACGAAAGUUAGGGGAUCGAAGACGAUCAGAUACCGUCGUAGUCUUAACCAUAAACUAUGCCGACUAGGGAUCGGAUGAUGUGAUUUUUUAUGUA